UAUCCAAAAGUGAAUCGUAUUCUUUUCACUUUUUUUAAUGGUAGAAGAACCCUGAGAGAGAUAGCUACUGUAAGUCUGACAGUUUUAUCAUAGAAAGCUGAAGCAAUUUGCUCAAGGUCACAAGACUUUUAAGAGGUGGAGUUAUUUAGAUUUAGUUUUAGUUACUCUGUCCCUAAUACAGUGUUCUUCUCAUGUAGCUAUUUGAAUCUCAUAUUGCCUUUUAAUUAAUCAUUAGAUCAAUAAACAUUUGUUGGUUUCACAACCGUUAUAUCAAAAGAGAUCGUCAUACUUUAAAAAUUCUGAUGAGGUCAGUGUCUUCUCAGUUUCCUCCUUGGAACAAUGCUAAAUCAUAUGUGGCUGUUUAAAUAUUAAAACCCUAUGGAAUCACAGAGCACUCAAAGCUCAAAUUAAUGCUGGGAAUUGUAAUUACAUACAUUUCUUGUGAAAAGACUUGAUGGUUGGUUUGAAUUACAACUGUGUGGCUUUGGGAAAAUUACUUAAUAUCUUUAGGCUCUGGUUUCCUUAAAUGUAAAGUGGGGAUAAUACCACUUCUCUGGGAGGUCGCCAAGAUUAAAGUAGACAAUACAUUUGUCAAAGUCCCUAGCACAGUGCCUGACACAUAAUAGGCACUCAGUAAAUGUUAGUUUCUCCUUGACUAAUUUCUUUCAUUGGCUGUGUGGGAAAAUUACGCGAACAAACUGUACAAGUCAAUCAUUUCCAAGGGCUUUUUGAAAAUAAUGAUAGAGAGUCUUAAGAGAGCACUGUCAUUAUUGUUGGUUGGGGUCAGUUUUUUCCCUGCAAGAACAUAAAGUUAAAAUUUACUGGCGAGUAUUUAAUACACAACAAUUUGCUAUGAAUCUGACUUUUCUCCAGGAACGCACUUAAUGAUGAAAUCAAAUCAAGCAGAAGUUUUUUUUGCAUGCGGUUCAAGAACGCUCUUUAUCCAGUCUGCACUGAAAUUGCAUUACCUGGAGUUAAGGAGGAAGUGUACUCAGUUGAGCUUGGAAGCAAUGUUACCAGAAAAGGAUUAACAAAUCAUAAGACAAAAUCCUUGGAGCUUUAUUGGUAAUAGCCAAAAGGAAGGAAG